GACGAACGCUGGCGGCGUGCCUAAUGCAUGCAAGUUGAGCGCUGAAGGUUGGUACUUGUACCGACUGGAUGAGCAGCGAACGGGUGAGUAACGCGUGGGGAAUCUGCCUUUGAGCGGGGGACAACAUUUGGAAACGAGUGCUAAUACCGCAUAAAAACUUUAAACACAAGUUUUAAGUUUGAAAGAUGCAAUUGCAUCACUCAAAGAUGAUCCCGCGUUGUAUUAGCUAGUUGGUGAGGUAAAGGCUCACCAAGGCGAUGAUACAUAGCCGACCUGAGAGGGUGAUCGGCCACAUUGGGACUGAGACACGGCCCAAACUCCUACGGGAGGCAGCAGUAGGGAAUCUUCGGCAAUUGACGAAAGUCUGACCGAGCAACGCCGCGUGAGUGAAGAAGGGUUUCGGAUCGUAAAACUCUGUUGGUAGAGAAGAACGUUGGUGAGAGUGGAAAGCUCAUCAAGUGACGGUAACUACCCAGAAAGGGACGGCUAACUACGUG
rnacentral:rRNA from 1 species